rnacentral:rRNA from 1 species
UACGGAGGGUGCGGGCGUGUCCGGAAUCACUGGGCGUAAAGGGCGCGUAGGCGGCCUGGUAAGUAGGGGGUGAAAUCCUGCGGCUUAACCGCAGGGCUGCCUUCUAAACUGUCAGGCUUGAGCACGGUAGAGGCAGAUGGAAUUCCCGGUGUAGCGGUGGAAUGCGUAGAGAUCGGGAAGAACAUCAGUGGCGAAGGCGGUCUGCUGGGCCGUUGCUGACGCUGAGGCGCGACAGCGUGGGGAGCAAACAGG